AACGUAGGUGGCGAGCGUUAUCCGGAUUUACUGGGCGUAAAGCGUGUGCAGGCGGGGAUACAAGUGGUGUAUGAAAUUUCCCAGCUUAACUGGGAAGGGUUAUGCCAGACUGUAUUCUGGAGUGCGAGAGAGGGGCGUGGAAUUCCGGGUGUAGUGGUGAAAUGCGUAGAGAUCCGGAGGAACACCGGAUGGCGAAGGCAAUCCCCUGGACCUGUACUGACGCUCAUGCACGAAAGCGUGGGAGCAACAGGAU
rnacentral:rRNA from 1 species